UUCACAGCUUCUCCGGGCAACCUGUGCCAAAAAGCAAAGAAAGCAAGUCCUGAAGUGUCCUGUUUUCAGCUUUCAUUUGGUCUGUAUCCUUCAGGCACACUAGAUGAUUACACAGAAGUAUAAUUUCAGUGCAAAGCUUGCAAUACUGAGUUUUUAGCCAUUGAUACAAAUACACGCCUUUCUGUAUUUACCAUGUCAGUAGUUCUAUUUGUCAUCCUAUUUCAGCUUUGUUACGUAAGAUUUUAUUUCCUAAAUAAAAUAACAUGCCAUGGACAUACACGGUGAGUAUGUGCUACAAAACCCUUUUUUAACUCCAUACGUAUGGUAUUUCCCAUGAAGAGAUUAUGAUUAUCACUAUACCAAAACUUUUAAGAUAUCAUAUGAAAACAGGAUGAGUAACCGGAGUAAGUAGCUAGUUGCUGCUUUCUACAGGUCCUUAGGAAUUUUGUCAGAGUUUGAAGACAAACUUGCCGGUAAGGGUGGAAGGGGAAGAGGAACUUUGUGAUUCACGUUCUGUGACUGUAGCACUGUGGUGAGCUGCCUGUUUUGUUGACAAUCUAAAACAGAAGUUUGAAGAAGAUAAACUGGUGACUCGGAGUUCCCAAAAUGAGAGGCUGGCUACCAAGGGAAAAAUCAGAGUAAAAUAUCGCUGCUUCUGGAAAACCCCUUCAUUUUCCUUUAGUAAAUUUAGAUUCAUGUUAUCAGAUAACUUAAAUGACAUCAUAACUGGCUUAAAUUUUCAUCAUUCAAGUGAAGUGGCAUAAAUUGCUGCUAAAAUACAAAGUAAUUCCAAAAUAAAUCUUUAAAUCAUUCCUUUGAAAUUCUGCUGAAACUGUUAAUGGUUGUAAAACUCAAAUACAUUGUGGAUCAAUUGAAGUUUUGUCUGUGGUGUCCUGAUUUUUAGAUUCACAGUGCAAUUGUCUUUGAAUCUAUGUUGUAGUGGCUUACAGGAAAGCUGUGUAACAAUACCUGUUGACUUUCUGUUUCCAACCAUAAAUCAGUACAUGGCCUUGUGCCUGAAAGACUUUCAUUAUGCUCAGUCACAAUACAUGCAGUUGAUUUUCCUUUUAAUCACUCAGUUUUAACCACUCUUGAGAAAUACCUUUAUAAUUGUUUUUCUCAAUCAAUACAAGACCUAACUUGUUUCAGCAGUUUAUCAUAUGUAAAAAAUUGUAAACUUUUUUGUUUCCCUUGCUACUGAUUUUACUUUAAUCCCUUUUGUAUCUCUAAAUGUAAUCAAGAAUCCAUUUUUGUAAUAAAUGCCAAGUGACUGCCAGGAAAAAUCUUUAGCAGAUUUAAGGGUAAUCAGUAACUGCAUGGUGGACUCCAGGUAGCUUCUACUCUUUGAGUAUGCUCAAGAUUGAGAAAAUAAGCAUUUUCAUGUAAAACUCCACAUAUCUGCUUAUGCAACCAUAGCAGCACCUCAGACUUGGCUUGUGCAGGACGUACAACUCCCAUCAGUGACGAAUGAGUGUGCAAUGGACUUACCCAGCACGUGGUCUUAGAGAAGAAAAGCGCAAUGGGACAGGACUUCGCGAGCCUAAUUAAGUCUACACUGUUUCUGACAGUGCUGCUGCCACAUUUGAAUGAGGAGGUGAUGUAAUCCAUAAUUCACCAUCUGUCUCAUUGUGUCAGGUGAUAAAUGACCUGGUGCAGCAAGCUGUGCCUUUCCCAUUGCUUGUUAUCUAAUGGACACAAUAAUAAAAAAGGACUCCAUGAUACUGAAAUAGAAGUUUCAAAAUCCUUCACUAUGGCUAUAGACAGGAUGCUUCUUCACAUUGGCUUCUCAGGGUAGAUAAGGUUUUUGAUACAACUGAAGCUUUUGUUAAAUACUGUUUCUAAAUUAUAGAGUAUUUAGGCCGUGGAGCAAAGAAGCAGCUGCCUCUUGGUUUCUUCUUUGAGUUUUUAAUUCCCAUUGAGCAUUUGCAUAUUGAAGAAGUCCUUGGUCUGCCUUGCUUCUUCAUAUGGGAAUUUCCACAUAGAUAGUGAGAUAAGUGAAGGUCCAGAACAAAAAGGGUAUUUUUAGUAUAAUUUUCCUUAUACCUUGAUUAGUGUUUUAAUAAACAUAAUUCUCUGUCAUGAAUUUAAGAAGUAUUGACCUUCCUUUUUUAUGUUGUUGUUGUUUAUGUUUUUUAAUGACUUUUUUUUGGGUGGUAUUUACAGGUACUUUGCAAAUAGGAUAAUGGCAGGAUUUAAGUGGCAGGGUUUUUGCAAGUAGGAUUUUAUGGCAGGAUUUAAAAUGGUAGGGCCAGCAAAAUGGAAUUGCUAUCUGGCCCACAAAGUCUGGGGAGGAUUGUAUAGCAAGCUGCUCUAUUUUAAGCAAGGUAAUAAUAAUAAUAAAAAAAGGUAAAUGGUAAAUGAUUAAAAUCAUACAGCAGAAAUAGCUAUGUCUUGUGAAGAUAAUUGAACAGUUACUUGGGUCACUAAUGCAAUUUUCUGUGAACAUGUAACAUUUAAUAUCCAUUAUCAUGAUUUAUUGCAUAUGACUCACCUGAGGACAGGAAAAUGCUAAUCUUAAGUACACUAAUCUGUAUCACUUAGAUAAAACUAUUUAGAUGAGCAUAUGAAGUAACAGAGAAGUGUGGCAGUAGUCAGAACACAGACUUCUGUAUUUCGCCGUUAUAUCUGUCACUAAACUUUACUGUAUUUUGACUAUUGGACUUAAGUAUGACAGACUUCAUUACCUAUUUAGUAUCCUGAAACAUUUGAGGAAUGUAUGCUAUUUUUCUCUUAACUACUCACAGAUCCUGAAUUUUAUAUGUAUAUUUAGAGUUGAAUAAAGGAUUAUGCUUUAGAAAAUGUGUUUUCAUUCAGUAAUAGCAGCAUCUUUGUCCUUGCUUUUUGUGGUGUUUACAAGCUUUUAAAUGAAAAGAGAAUGUAUAUUUGUUUUAUAAGAGGUUUGUUUAAGGAAUGUUUUCUCUUCAAAAUAUUUCUGUAUGUUUUGUACUACCCACAUACAAGGAAUAAAGGAGUUUGGUAUUGA